rnacentral:lncRNA from 1 species
ACCCAGGAGGCAGAGGCUGCAGUGAGCCGAGAUCGCGCCACUGCACUCCAGCCUGGGUGACAAGAGUGAGACUUCGUCUAAGAAAAAGAAAAAGAUUUACGUCCAGAUCUCUCAGAUCUGCUGCCUGGCCCUUGACUACCGUGGCAUUCAGCUCCCCCGACAGCUUCCUUUCUCCAAGGAGGGAGCUGGACUCAUGGAGUCAGCCUGGGCAAGAGCAAACUCCUUGGGCCACUGCAGCAACUGCGCUCACUCUUUCGAGUUCCCGCCUUUUCCCUUGAAAUUCCCAUUUAUUGGGGGAUUAGACAUAAAUAUUUGUAAUUUAUAGUGCAAAUAGUCUUUACUUUGCUUCCUACAAAAUACUUAAAUCAAAAUGAGAUUGUCAGGCAGUGCACAAAACAGGUGUGGUCAACCACCUUUCUAAUGUUUGGAUAAUGUUAAAGAGGUCUGCGAAUUCAGGAAAUGAUCUCGUGGUUACCAGGCAGCCAGCGUACCCCUCCUGAUGGAUUGUGGGUCGGGAAGAGCACAAGUGUUUUGUAACUAUGGAAACAAACUGAGUUUGUCAAGCCAGAAAGCAACCCUCCAGCAUCCAGAUUACCCUUCGAAGACGGCAAAGAAAAAGAGAGCUCUGAAAUCACUCAACGCAUAGGAGCUGGUUCUAUAAUUUUUAGACUUUAAUUAAAUCAAUUAUUAAAGCCUUUCUUAAUGCCUUGCUGAGAUAUUCAGGCUCGGGCUGCCUCAGGAGAGAGGAAGUGGUUGAAUGCACAGAGGUGGCUAAUAAGAGGGGACACAACAUUCCAGAAUCCCACAGGAAAGAUUCUACCAUCUCCACAGCUGCCCUCGCCGCAGUCCUCCCUACUGUUGGAGAAGAUGCCCCCAAUAACUGGGGUGUCUCGAGCUAGUGGACACAUCAUGGAGCUGGAGUGGACUGUGUCAUUAAGAUCCUCCCAUGGCCUCAUCCUGUGCUGGCCAUCGCUAUGCGUCCAGUAAGGAGGUAGAACACUGGAUGAGCCACAGAAAGCACACAGGACUUUGCUGUGGAAGAGUCAAAGAUCCACGUGGGAGCAUCCCGUAGGGGACUUGCGUUUCAGAUCAGAUGAUGCUUUUCAUGUAUGUCCAGCAGCAAGAGAGUCCUUCACUGGUGAAAAAUCACGGGCCUCAGAGCAGAUUUUAGUUCAUCUUUCAUUUCAAAGCACUCCUUAGAUAUCUGCAAAUUAAAUCCCCUAAUUUGGUGAGGACGCCCAGCUUCCCAAAUAACAAGGCUUUU